GACGAACGCUGGCGGCGCGCCUAACACAUGCAAGUCGAACGAGCGAGAGAGAGCUUGCUUUCUUGAGCGAGUGGCGAACGGGUGAGUAACGCGUGAGGAACCUGCCUCAAAGAGGGGGACAACAGUUGGAAACGACUGCUAAUACCGCAUAAGCCCACGGCUCGGCAUCGAGCAGAGGGAAAAGGAGCAAUCCGCUUUGAGAUGGCCUCGCGUCCGAUUAGCUAGUUGGUGAGGUAACGGCCCACCAAGGCAACGAUCGGUAGCCGGACUGAGAGGUUGAACGGCCACAUUGGGACUGAGACACGGCCCAGACUCCUACGGGAGGCAGCAGUGGGGAAUAUUGCACAAUGGGGGAAACCCUGAUGCAGCGACGCCGCGUGGAGGAAGAAGGUCUUCGGAUUGUAAACUCCUGUUGUUGAGGAAGAUAAUGACGGUACUCAACAAGGAAGUGAC
rnacentral:rRNA from 1 species